rnacentral:rRNA from 1 species
UGAGUGGCGGACCGGCGUACGGGUGAGUAACGCGUAUCCAACCUGCCCUUUACUAUGGGACAGCCCGUCGAAAGGCGGAUUAAUACCGUAUGUUGUCAUGUUGAUGCAUAUUUUCAUGACCAAAGGCUUCGGCCGGUAAAGGAUGGGGAUGCGUCUGAUUAGCUUGCCGGCGGGGUAACGGCCCACCGGGGCGACGAUCAGUAGGGGUUCUGAGAGGAAGGUCCCCCACAUUGGAACUGAGACACGGUCCAAACUCCUACGGGAGGCAGCAG